UGAGUACGAGACGCUAAGGCGUUGAAGCAGUCUAUGUCAGACUUCCAAGAAAAGCUCGCAAUGUCAUAACAAAAAAUGCCUGUACCAUAACCGACACAGGUGGGUAGGUAGAGUAUACUAAGGGGCGCGAGAUAACUCUCUCUAAGGAACUCGGCAAAAUGACUCCGUAACUUCGGGAGAAGGAGUGCCUUAUUUUUAUAAGGUUGCAAUAACAAGAUCCAAGCAACUGUUUACCAAAAACACAGGUCUCCGCUAAGUCGUAAGACGAUGUAUGGGGGCUGACGCCUGCCCAGUGCCAGAAGGUUAAAGAAGUUGGUUAGUUUCGGCGAAGCUGAUGACUGAAGCCCUGGUGAACGGCGGCCGUAACUAUAACGGUCCUAAGGUAGCGAAAUUCCUUGUCGGGUAAGUUCCGACCCGCACGAAAGGCGUAAUGAUUUGGAUACUGUCUCGGAGAGGGGCUCGGUGAAAUAGACUUGUCUGUGAAGAUGCGGACUACCUGCACCUGGACAGAAAGACCCUAUGAAGCUUUACUGUAACUUGAGAUUGAAAUUGGACUUUAUUUGCGCAGUAUAGGUGGGAGACGUUGAGAAUAUUCUUGCGGGAAUAUUGGAGUCAUCAGAGGGAUACCACUCUUGUAAUGUUAGAUUUCUAACUUUGUAUCAUGAUCUGGUCAAAGGACAGUUUCAGGCGGGCAGUUUGACUGGGGCGGUCGCCUCCCAAACGGUAACGGAGGCGCACAAAGGUUUCCUCUGAACGUGUAGAAAUCGUAUCUAGAGUGUAAAGGCAUAAGGAAGCUUGACUGUGAGACCUACAAGUCGAGCAGGGACGAAAGUCGGUCUUAGUGAUCUGACGGUGCUGAGUGGAAAGGCCGUCACUCAACGGAUAAAAGUUACUCUAGGAUAACAGGCUGAUCUCCCCCAAGAGUUCACAUCGACGGGGAGGUUUGGCACCUCGAUGUCGGCUCAUCGCAUCCUGGGGCGGUAGUACGUCCCAAGGGUUGGGCUGUUCGCCCAUGAAAGCGGUACGCGAGCUGGGUUCAGAACGUCGUGAGACAGUUCGGUCCAUAUCCGGUGUAGGCGUUAGAAUAUUGAGAGGAGCCUUCUUUAGUACGAGAGGACCGAGAAGGACAUACCUCUGGUGUACCAGUUAUCGUGCCAACGGUAAACGCUGGGUAGCUAUGUAUGGAGUGGAUAACCGCUGAAAGCAUCUAAGUGGGAAGCCCACCUCAAGAUAAGUAUUCUCA
rnacentral:rRNA from 1 species